GAUGAAGAACGUAGCGAAAUGCGAUAAGUAAUGCGAAUUGCAGAAUUCCAGUGAGUCAUCGAAUCUUUGAACGCACAUUGCGCCCUUUGGUAUUCCGAAGGGCAUGCCUGUUCGAGCGUCAUUAUCACCCCUCAAGCCCUCGGCUUGGUGUUGGACGGUUUGGUGGAGGCCCCCUCGGGGGUUCCUGCCCCUCCCAAAGACAAUGACGGCGGCCUCGUUGGACCCCCGGUACACUGAGUUCUUCACGGGACACGUAUCGGACACAUGGGUUUACGGGACACGGUCUGCCUCCCCUCAGGGAGAAUCUUUCUAAGGUUGACCUCGGAUCAGGUAGGGAUACCCGCUGAACUUAAGCAUAUCAAUAAGCGGAGGGA
rnacentral:misc_RNA from 1 species